rnacentral:rRNA from 1 species
GACGAACGCUGGCGGCGUGUUUAACACAUGCAAGUCGAACGGUGAAGCGCCUUCCUUUUUGGUGGGUGUGGAUGAGUGGCGAACGGGUGAGUAACACGUGAGUAACCUGCCCCCUUCUUCUGGAUAACCGCAUGAAAGUGUGGCUAAUACGGGAUAUUCUGGGUCUGUCGCAUGAUGGGUCUGGGAAAGAUAUUGUUUCGGUGGGGGAUGGGCUCGCGGCCUAUCAGCUUGUUGGUGGGGUGAUGGCCUACCAAGGCGGUGACGGGUAGCCGGCCUGAGAGGGUGGACGGUCACACUGGGACUGAGACACGGCCCAGACUCCUACGGGAGGCAGCAGUGGGGAAUAUUGCACAAUGGCGCAAGCCUGAUGCAGCGACGCCGCGUGAGGGAUGGAGGCCUUCGGGUUGUGAACCUCUUUCGCCAGUGAAGCAGGCCUGCCUCGUUUGUGGGUGGGUUGACGGUAGCUGGAUAAGAAGCGCCGGCUAACUACGUG